rnacentral:rRNA from 1 species
UACGUAGGACCCAAGCGUUAUCCGGAUUUACUGGGCGUAAAGAGUUGCGUAGGUGGCAGAGUAAGUAAAUAGUGAAAUCCUGGGGCUCAACCCCUUACACAUUGUUUAAACUGCUCAGCUUGAGAGUGAGAGAGGUAGAUGGAAUUGCUAGUGUAGGAGUGAAAUCCGUAGAUAUUAGCAGGAACACCGAUGGCGUAGGCAGUCUACUGGCUCAUUUCUGACACUAAGGCACGAAAGCGUGGGGAGCAAACGGG